GUGAGGUCAAUGCUGAAGAUGCUGCUGCUUCUGCUGCUUCUGGGGCCCACAGGCUCUGGGCUUGGUGCUCAUGUCUCUCAACAUCCAAGGAGGGCCAUCUGCAAGAGUGGGACCUCUGUGAAGAUCGAGUGUCGCUCUGUGGGCAUCCAGGCCAUAAAUGUGUAUUGGUACCGCCAGUUCCCGAAAGAGAGCUUUGUGCUCAUGGCAACUUCUAAUCCAGGCUCUGAUGUCACCUGGGAACAAGAUAUUGCCCAGGACAAGUUUUCUGUCAGUCACCCAAACAGCACCUUUGCAUCUCUGAUGGUGACGGGUGCACUUUCUGAAGACAGCGGCUUCUACUUCUGUGGUGCCAGUGACACAGUGCUGGGUGGAAGCCAGAGACCUAGGCAAGAAGGCUUGCAGCAGCCUGCCCCGCCCACCCUCAGACCCAGGAGCCCUGUGGGAGGAGCCUGGGCAGAGAAAACCACAGCUUCUCUCAAUGAGACCUCUGGGAGUACUCAUGUGUGUGUGAGUAGCCAGAGAAUUUGGGUGUGGACGAUUGUGGGAAUGGGGGGGGGUGAGUUUUUGCAGAUACAGAAAAAUGGGAAUAAAGUGGAACCAAUAAAGUUCCAACUGACAUGA